rnacentral:rRNA from 1 species
GUGGGGAAUAUUGGACAAUGGGCGAAAGCCUGAUCCAGCAAUGCCGCGUGUGUGAAGAAGGCCUUAGGGUUGUAAAGCACUUUAGUGGGGGAAGAAAGCUACGCAAGUAGUUUGACGGUACCCCAAGAAUAAGCACCGGCUAACUCUGUGCCAGCAGCCGCGGUAAUACAGAGGGUGCGAGCGUUAAUCGGAAUGACUGGGCGUAAAGAGCGCGUAGGUGGAUGUGUGUGUUGGAUGUGAAAGCCCCGGGCUUAACCUGGGAAUUGCAUACAAAACUGCACAUCUAGAGUAGAGCAGAGGUAAGUGGAAUUUCCGGAGUAGCGGUGAAAUGCGUAGAUACCGGAAGGAACACCAGUGGCGAAGGCGACUUACUGGGCUCAAACUGACACUGAGGCGCGAAAGCGUGGGGAGCAAACAGGAUUAGAAACCCGAGUAGUCC